rnacentral:rRNA from 1 species
GACGGAGGGUGCUAGCGUUGUUCGGAAUCACUGGGCGUAAAGGGCGCGUAGGCGGCCUCAGGUGUCGGAUGUGAAAGCCCGGGGCUCAACCCCGGAGGUGCAUCCGAAACUGCGAGGCUUGAGUAUGGAAGAGGGUCGCGGAAUUCCCGGUGUAGAGGUGAAAUUCGUAGAUAUCGGGAGGAACACCAGUGGCGAAGGCGGCGACCUGGGCCAAUACUGACGCUGAGGUGCGAAAGCGUGGGGAGCAAACAGG